GUAUUUCGUAUAUAAAUCUUACAAAGCGUUCGUCAUUAGAGUUUAUUUCUAUGUACGAUAUCUGACACGCACAUUUUUAUCGCAGUACGUUUAUAUUCUACCUUUCCGUAACUGAUACAUAUACACAUGCACACGAUAAUGCACACAUGUAGGUUAUUAUAAUAAUAUAUUAUAUAUUAUUAGCACAGAGAGCUACAGUUUCACUAUGAACUUGAAGUAAGGAACGUAUAGAAGAGUCGCAGUCAUUGACUUUGAAAAUAUCUAGUGAGCGGUCAGUGGCGCAGUACCGUGUGCAAGAGACUUUAACGGGCGAUCAAACAACGACGCGUGACCAGGAAGACACGUUCCGACGAAAUUUUGACUCUUUCAUAUGACCUGAAUCGCGUGUAUAUCUUCAUUGCAAUAAACCAUACUUAUUUUCAUUUUACAUUCAGUUGAAAAUAAUUAACCUCAAAUUUAUAAAUUAUUUCUCUUUCUACAUACGUGUCAUCGGAAAUGGCCGCCAUUACAAUCUCCAGCAUAACGACAGGCCGAAAAAAGUUACUUAAAACUAGACGAAAAUAGAAUUUUUGUUAAUUCUUUGCACACUCACGAUUUGAGAUGAUACAACGAAUUAUCGAUCGACCGAUCGGAAAGCAAUGCGAGGAUCGUGUAUCAUCGAUUAAUCGAAACGUACAAUUGAGAAGACGAUACUACGACGAUGAUGAGAACAACAGAGACAGCCGUGGCUCGUUCCGGAGGAUAGGCCACGGUGCUUCUGACCGGCACGUUAAACAACGCGAUCACUCUCGGCUACCUUCGGCACGGUUCGGGCGUAGCCAGGUGGAAGUCGAAUUAUGGAGAUGGAAAAGUAGCAGCGGUAUCUAUGAUCAUACGUCGGUGUAUAAUCGUAUGGCAUGCGUCUACGAAGGGUCGAAUUAUUCACGACUUUGUCGCCCCUACCCUGUUUUAUUUUCUUAAAUUUUAUUUUUGAUUCUUUUGAUAUGCUUUCGGAACAACACAUUUGUACGUUGUUACACAUCGUUUUUCUGUAUGAAGUAUCUCUUUUAUUACGUUUUCACUUUACUUUAAGGAAUUUUGAUGAUUAUUAGGAAUACGGAGUUUCGAACGUUUAUAGUCUAUCAUUGAUAUUUUACAAAGAAUUUUACAAAGAACUUACGAUUACUUUUAUGCGUUAUCUUUGUUUUAUAUUUAAGAAUACAAAUUAUCAACAAUUAAACGAUAAUGAAGAUUUGAAUCAUAUGCCAAUGAAAAUAAUAAACGACGUAUCAUUAAUGUUGAAAAUAUAUUUUUUACUUCGUUUAUGAUCGGUUUGUAUCAAUUUAUAUACGAUUGGAUGUAUACACAUAUUUUUGUUCUUUCUUUACAGCUAUAUAUCUUAUAAUAUACAUACUAAUGCAUAAAGUUGAUGGUGAAAUACAGUGAUCGCUUUACCGGAAAUGUUUAUCAUUUAACAUUCGCUCAACGUAAUACGAAAUGUGUCUUUAUGUAACGAGAACAAUUUUGACAAUGAAUUCAGAUACAUUUCGUUAGUAAUAAUUGUCAUUUUCUCAAAUGAUUAAAUUUUAAUAAAAUAUUUUAUCUAGGGACGUAACAGUAAUGAAAUUUUCAUCAAAGAAUUGUAUAAUAAACAUUUUUUUUCAAAAUUAUCUUACGAAUGUACAUUUCUUAUGUAUAAUACUUUUGAAAACUUUGUAGAUAAUACUUAUUAUACAGCACAUUUUCAUCGUAAAUAAGAUAAUUAUAUUAAUCAAGUAAUAGCACUUUUUUUAUAAUAAGAAGCACGUACAACUUAUUGUAAUAGUAUAUAUUCUUCGUUGGCAUACAAAAUAUUUAUGAUAGCAUGUAAAGAUACUAUAUAUGACCUCAACAAAACCAGUACAAUUGUAUCUUUUAACGUAGUUUGAUUGAACUGUAAGAUACAAUCGAAUUUGAAAAAUAUAAAAAAUGAAGAAAAUAUGAUAUAACAAAACUUUUAAUAUUCCUUUAUAACAGAGUAACAUUAUACUUCUCAUUGUAACCAUUUAUACUCAAAUUUCAAUAUGAAAGUCAGUAGUCCCUAUUUUGUAAUUUAGUGUAAUGAUGCUUUUUUACUUUCAGGUACAAGACAAUCAUAUAGAUUAUUUAUAAACAAUCAAUUACAGGGAAAAUUUUAUAAAAGAUAUGUAAUGAUAUAACAUACAUUUAAUGUUGACAUGAAUGCCCAAUUUUAACAUUUUUGUUAUUUUUUUGACAUAUUUUUUAUUAUUACAAUUUUUGCAUCACAAUUUAUGACAACUAGUUUUAUGGAAGCACAAGAAGACUAUUGUAUUUAUAAUUUUAAGUUUUAGAAACUAGAAUGAAUUUCGGAAGGACAUGAUGCCAAUAAAAUUGGAUCUUUCAUAUAAAAGGAAGAAUAAAUUUUUCUUAAUUUUUUUUAUCUUCCAUGUUGAAAUAAGUGAAAUUAUGACUACAAGAUGAAAAGACAAAGGAAGGCAGACAUGAUCAGAAAAGGAGAAAGCCAUUUAAAAAUAAAUAAAAGAUUGUUACAAAAUAGUCGUGUCCAUGAAAAGCAAAAAUUCUUACAAAAACUAUUAGUUACAUAAAUGAACAUUAAAAAGACUCAACAUAAUUUAUUUUUAAACAUAUUUUGCUUUAAAACUUUUUGCAAAAAUCUAUUUGGUUAACAAAAUUAUUGAUAUUUCGUAUCCGAUUUUAAUAGAUAAAAAUGAUUUUAUCAUAGCAUUCUUGUUUAACAUAUCUUUGUUUGUAUAUGUUUAGUAAGAAUAAUAUAACAAUAAUAUAUAGCUAUAAGUCAUAAAAUUAAUGUAUAAGACGAC